rnacentral:ncRNA from 1 species
AAUUAUUCUCAGGGCGGGGCGAAAUUCCCCACCGGCGGUAAGUCAUUAAACGAACGAUGAUUACAUUAUUCGUUAUCUUGAUAAGCCCGCGAGCGCUCGGUACGCCGAGGACAGCAGAUCUGGUGAGAUUCCAGGGCCGACGGUUAAAGUCCGGAUGGGAGAGGAUGAUA